GCGGCAGCGACGACAGUGACGGGUUCAAUUUCGAUCUGGGUUUCUCCUAGGGUUUUGUUAUUGCUUUGCUCUGAUACCAUAUUGAAAGCAAUUAACAACAACCCGAGACUUACGUGGAAACUAGAGAACCGAGAGAAAAACCACGAUACUUUAGUUUUUAUUAUUUUUCUUAUGAAUACAAUUGGUACAAAUAGAGAAAAUAAAUAUAGUACAAUAGGAGUAAGAAAGGAAAAGAUCUAGGAAAUAUUUAGGAAAUAAAAUCUUAUAUAUUAUUCUUUCCAAAAAUACUCUAAGGACAAAGCCCUACUAAUUCUAACAGUAGGCUUUAAGGUUUUAUUUGUGAAGAUUAUGAUUUCAUAUUUAAGUUAAUGAAAGUGUUUUACAUUCCUACAUCAUGAAGUUGCAUCCUUUAUCUUUUUAAACAUGUGUAGCCAUAUACUGCUUUAACUUUAAGUUUAAACUGUAACAAUCUAUUCUUUCAGUGCAGAUCAUACUUACGGUUGCUGAACAUCAUAGUGCCAUUGUUCCUUGGCAACUUAUAGCUGAAAGGACCGGUGUUGUUCUGAAGUUUGUAAGUUUAGGUUAGGUUGUUUUCUUAUUAAUUAAAUGGCAAGCCUUACAUUUGGGCAUAUGAAGAUAAGGAAUAAACAUGCUUCAGAUGUGUGGGCCUACAGGCAUUGGAUUCUUGUAGAUUGAUCUAUUGUUUGCAAUGCCUCCAUUCUUAGAUGGUGGAGAUUUCUUGACCAUUCCACAUUUGCACAACCUCGUUCCAGAUUUGAAGCUGGGACGCCUACAAUUGGAGAAGCAAUUGGUUUGGGGAGCUGCUAUUGAUUAUUUAUCUAGGAUCGAAAUGCAAAAAAUUCAUAGUUACGAAGUGAGUUGAUUGAAAUUUGGUAUAUACCCUUUGUUUGAGAAUUUUUGGGCGGUGAAAAAUGCGUGAAGCAACUAAAUCAGGGUAUCAACUAAAUAAAUACCUUCAUAGUAAGUUAGUAAUAGAAUUUUUUUUCUUUAAUCAAGGAAUUUAUGUAUUAUUUUUCUAUCAACUAGGUUACCUGGAACACUGAAAAUUCAGAAUGAUAUGAUAAAUAUGUUUACUAGUUUUAAGACUUUAGUCUAACGACGAGGAGGUGUUGUAUGCUAACAGGAAGAAUUGGCGAAUUAUCUAUAUGAAAACCUUCGUGCAGUCCCUAACAUUCGAAUA